rnacentral:rRNA from 1 species
AAAUUGAAGAGUUUGAUCAUGGCUCAGAUUGAACGCUGGCGGCAGGCCUAACACAUGCAAGUCGAACGGUAACAGAAAGCAGCUUGCUGCUUUGCUGACGAGUGGCGGACGGGUGAGUAAUGUCUGGGAAACUGCCUGAUGGAGGGGGAUAACUACUGGAAACGGUAGCUAAUACCGCAUAACGUCGCAAGACCAAAGAGGGGGACCUUCGGGCCUCUUGCCAUCGGAUGUGCCCAGAUGGGAUUAGCUAGUAGGUGGGGUAAAGGCUCACCUAGGCGACGAUCCCUAGCUGGUCUGAGAGGAUGACCAGCCACACUGGAACUGAGACACGGUCCAGACUCCUACGGGAGGCAGCAGUGGGGAAUAUUGCACAAUGGGCGCAAGCCUGAUGCAGCCAUGCCGCGUGUAUGAAGAAGGCCUUCGGGUUGUAAAGUACUUUCAGCGGGGAGGAAGGGAGUAAAGUUAAUACCUUUGCUCAUUGACGUUACCCGCAGAAGAAGCACCGGCUAACUCCGUGCCAGCAGCCGCGGUAAUACGGAGGGUGCAAGCGUUAAUCGGAAUUACUGGGCGUAAAGCGCACGCAGGCGGUUUGUUAAGUCAGAUGUGAAAUCCCCGGGCUCAACCUGGGAACUGCAUCUGAUACUGGCAAGCUUGAGUCUCGUAGAGGGGGUAGAAUUCCAGGUGUAGCGGUGAAAUGCGUAGAGAUCUGGAGGAAUACCGGUGGCGAAGGCGGCCCCCUGGACGAAGACUGACGCUCAGGUGCGAAAGCGUGGGGAGCAAACAGGAUUAGAUACCCUGGUAGUCCACGCCGUAAACGAUGUCGACUUGGAGGUUGUGCCCUUGAGGCGUGGCUUCCGGAGCUAACGCGUUAAGUCGACCGCCUGGGGAGUACGGCCGCAAGGUUAAAACUCAAAUGAAUUGACGGGGGCCCGCACAAGCGGUGGAGCAUGUGGUUUAAUUCGAUGCAACGCGAAGAACCUUACCUGGUCUUGACAUCCACGGAAGUUUUCAGAGAUGAGAAUGUGCCUUCGGGAGCCGUGAGACAGGUGCUGCAUGGCUGUCGUCAGCUCGUGUUGUGAAAUGUUGGGUUAAGUCCCGCAACGAGCGCAACCCUUAUCCUUUGUUGCCAGCGGUCCGGCCGGGAACUCAAAGGAGACUGCCAGUGAUAAACUGGAGGAAGGUGGGGAUGACGUCAAGUCAUCAUGGCCCUUACGACCAGGGCUACACACGUGCUACAAUGGCGCAUACAAAGAGAAGCGACCUCGCGAGAGCAAGCGGACCUCAUAAAGUGCGUCGUAGUCCGGAUUGGAGUCUGCAACUCGACUCCAUGAAGUCGGAAUCGCUAGUAAUCGUGGAUCAGAAUGCCACGGUGAAUACGUUCCCGGGCCUUGUACACACCGCCCGUCACACCAUGGGAGUGGGUUGCAAAAGAAGUAGGUAGCUUAACCUUCGGGAGGGCGCUUACCACUUUGUGAUUCAUGACUGGGGUGAAGUCGUAACAAGGUAACCGUAGGGGAACCUGCGGUUGGAUCACCUCCUUACCUUAAAGAAGC